UACGGGGGGGUGCGAGCGUUGUCCGGAAUCACUGGGCGUAAAGGGCGCGUAGGUGGUUUGAUAAGGGUGUGGUGAAAGUCCGGGGCUCAACUCCGGAUCUGCCGUGCCGACUGUCAAACUCGAGGGCUGUAGAGGCAGACGGAAUUCCGGGUGUAGCGGUGGAAUGCGUAGAGAUCCGGAGGAAGACCGGUGGCGAAGGCGGUCUGCUGGGCAGUUUCUGACACUGAGGCGCGACAGCGUGGGGAGCAAACAGG
rnacentral:rRNA from 1 species